rnacentral:rRNA from 1 species
UACGUAGGGGGCAAGCGUUGUCCGGAUUUAUUGGGCGUAAAGAGCGUGUAGGCGGCUAGGUAGGUCCGUUGUGAAAACUCGAGGCUCAACCUCGAGACGCCGGUGGAAACCAUCUAGCUAGAGUCCGGAAGAGGAGAGUGGAAUUCCUGGUGUAGCGGUGAAAUGCGUAGAUAUCGUAAGGAAGACCAGUGGCGAAGGCGGCUAUCUGGACGGUUUCUGACGCUAAGACGCGAAAGCGUGGGGAGCAAACAGG